AGGACACUAGACCAUGCACACUCACACCUAGGGAGAAUUUAGAGAGACCAAUUAACCUGACAGGAGAACUGUGCAAGGCAACAGUGCUACCAACUGCACAACUGUGCAGUAGGUAGCAUAAAGACAGAAUGAAGUAGUUGAUCAU